rnacentral:lncRNA from 1 species
CUGCAGCCAAGCCGUCGCGUCCGCGUCGUGUUCGAGGACCCUGACGCGACGGACUCCGACUCUGACGACGACGAGGACGCCGGCGCCGCCUCAAAGAAGCGCUACUUUGAGCUCUUCAUUGGCAAGCCAGCUUCGUCGACGAAGCAGGCCUCUCCGGCGUCCACCGUCGCUGCCUACGCCAACAUCGGCAAGGUUGGGAGCACCUGCUACCGUGGUGUGCGCCUCCGGAAGUGGGGCAAGUGGGCGGCGGAGAUCCGCAACCCCUUCACCGGCCAUAGGGAGUGGCUUGGCACCUUUGACACUGCUGAUGCGGCCUCCGCCGCCUACCAGUCUGCCUCCCGCAACUUCGCCGAAGAGAAGCGCCGCCGUGGUGUGGCCUCCUCUGCCUCACCUGCUAGUUCGGCGACCCCUAC